UGGGGAAUAUUGCACAAUGGGGGAAACCCUGAUGCAGCGACGCCGCGUGAACGAAGAAGGUAUUCGUAUCGUAAAGUUCUGUCCUAUGGGAAGAUAAUGACAGUACCAUAGAAGAAAGCUCCGGCUAAAUACGUGCCAGCAGCCGCGGUAAUACGUAUGGAGCGAGCGUUGUCCGGAAUUAUUGGGCGUAAAGGGUACGCAGGCGGAUUAAUAAGUCGAAUGUUAAAGAUCGGGGCUCAACCCCGCAAAGCAUUGGAAACUGAUAAACUUGAGUAGUGGAGAGGAAAGUGGAAUUCCUAGUGUAGUGGUGAAAUACGUAGAUAUUAGGAGGAAUACCAGUAGCGAAGGCGACUUUCUGGACACAAACUGACGCUGAGGUACGAAAGCGUGGGGAGCAAACAGG
rnacentral:rRNA from 1 species